AUGCACCCACCGCUCAAAGCUGCCGAAUUCCCCCUCCCCCUCUGUCCUGGCCUCCGCGAGAGGCCGAGGCGGGACCAGGAGCGCCACCCCCCUCCCCGGCUCCUCCGAGCCCCGCGCUCCCUGCGCUCCCAGCCGCGGACCACCCCUGGCCCCUCGGCCCCCCCGGCCCCCCCGGCCCCCUCCCGCCCGGGUGCGAGCGCGCGUUGGGGAGGGGGGGCUCCGGCCACUCAGGAGUUAAACUGGCGGCGGGACCGGAGGGGGGUGGCGGGGCGUGCAGACGCGGAGGCGGGGAGAGCGGCGGCGGGAGGGGCGGGAGGGGCGCGGGGGGCGAGGGCCUGCCGGGUGCGCUUGCGGCCGCGCGGCGCGUUAGGAGCGCCCGCCUGCCGCCCGCAGCCUCCGCCACGACUCGCAGGGCUGCGCGGCUCCGGGGCGCGGGCGCGGGCGGGGGCGCGGGCGGGGGCGCGGCGGGGGCGCGGGCGGGGGCGGCGAGCUCCGCGGUGCUGCGGCCGCGCUCGCCGGCUGGGGCCCAGGAGCGCUCCCCGGACGACUCGGCGGCGGCGAGGGCGCCCGAGACCCUGCCCGGCCUGCGCGCGGCGCGGAGGGAGGGCGCGCCCGGCCUGCCCCAGCCCGGGCGGGAGCGGGAGCGGGAGCCGGAGCCGGAGCCGGAGCGGGAGCGGGAGCGGGAGCCGGAGCCGGAGCCGGAGCCGGAGCCGAGAGGGGCGCGGCGGCGCGGGCGGCGGACGGCGGCCCCGGGAGCCCGGACGGCGCCCGCGGGUGAGUGUGCGUUCCCGGGCCGAGCCGUGGGCGGCGCGAGGCGGUCGGCGUGGCCGGGGGAGGACGGGGAGCGCAGUGGGAGCGGCGGGCCGGGGGCUGGGGCUGGGGCUGGGGGAGGGGGGAGGGGGAGGGGGAGCCGGGGCCGCCGGGGAGGGGCUGGAGAGGGGCGAGCGCGGCCGACCGCGCGGACUGCACCCGGGGCCGCGGGGGAGGGGCGGCUGGGCCGCAGCCCCCGGCGCCCCUCCCCCUCCCCUCCCCCUCCCCCUCCCCCUCCCCGGAGGACCGAGGCGCCCCAAACUGUUGCUGGGUACAGCGGCGCCCGGAGGUGCCGGGGAGCCGGGAGGUGGCCAAGGCGAUGGGGCGGGCGGGACAGAGGCGGACCUGCGGAGCGGACGCUCUCCGGGGCCGCGGGGACCGCCCGGUCCUUGGAGCUCGGGUGUCCGUGCGGAGGGACGAGGCGGCCUUGGUGUGUGCCCGAAGUACCUGGAACCAGGAGCCAGGUCUCUCCCGGGCCGGCUGGGUCUGUCCGCAGCCCGGGCUGGGACAUCGGGGCGGGAGGGGGGGAGGGGCCGGCCUUGGGCCCAGCCUCGGGGCUGUGGGAAGGACCGCUCUGGGCCCCGCCGAGCCCGGGAGGCAGGAGGGGUCGUCCAGCCACAGGUGGUCUGUCUGCCCUGCAGGCAGGGGCGGCGCAGGCAGUGGCUGCAGCCAGCGAGGAUCCGCUGGGCGAGGGGGCCGCCCCCACCUGGGGCUGCGCUGAGCCGCUAA
rnacentral:lncRNA from 1 species